AUUGAACGCUGGCGGCAGGCCUAACACAUGCAAGUCGAACGGUAACAGAAAGCAGCUUGCUGCUUUGCUGACGAGUGGCGGACGGGUGAGUAAUGUCUGGGAAACUGCCUGAUGGAGGGGGAUAACUACUGGAAACGGUAGCUAAUACCGCAUAACGUCGCAAGACCAAAGAGGGGGACCUUCGGGCCUCUUGCCAUCGGAUGUGCCCAGAUGGGAUUAGCUAGUAGGUGGGGUAACGGCUCACCUAGGCGACGAUCCCUAGCUGGUCUGAGAGGAUGACCAGCCACACUGGAACUGAGACACGGUCCAGACUCCUACGGGAGGCAGCAGUGGGGAAUAUUGCACAAUGGGCGCAAGCCUGAUGCAGCCAUGCCGCGUGUAUGAAGAAGGCCUUCGGGUUGUAAAGUACUUUCAGCGGGGAGGAAGAGAGUAAAGUUAAUACCUUUGCUCAUUGACGGUACCCGCAGAAGAAGCACCGGCUAACUCCGUG
rnacentral:rRNA from 1 species